UACGUAGGGGGCAAGCGUUGUCCGGAUUUAUUGGGCGUAAAGAGCGUGUAGGCGGCUAGAUAGGUCCGUUGUGAAAACUCGAGGCUCAACCUCGAGACGCCGAUGGAAACCAUCUGGCUAGAGUCCGGAAGAGGAGAGUGGAAUUCCUGGUGUAGCGGUGAAAUGCGCAGAUAUCAGGAAGAACACCCGUGGCUAAGGCGGCUCUCUAGUACGGUACUGACGCUGAGACGCGAAAGCGUGGGUAGCAAACAGG
rnacentral:rRNA from 1 species